GCCGCCUUGCUCCCGGCGCCCGGGAGACGCGCCCGCCGCCGCCCGGCCCUCACCGGCCCGGCUCCAUCGCCCGUGCGCGACGAUCUUCCGCAGCAGCGACAGCGUCUGCCGCGCCGUGUCCUCGGAGCGCGGCCGCUCCCCGCCGCCCCGCAGCCGCGCCACGAAGGCCUCGAUCUGCUCCGACAGCUCCGAGCCGCGCUCGGCGGCGCCCGGCAUGGCAGCGGCCCCCCCAACCGGCGCCGCUCCGCCGCCGCACGCACCGCUUCCGCCGCGCCGCUUCCCCAUUGGUGGAGCCGCCGAUGUGCUCCCGCCCUCCGCCGGCGGCGAGGCCAAUGAGAGGACUUGCCCUGCAGCCGGCUGCCAUGCAGGGACUGUUGGGUCCCCAGCAAAAUACCAAGAGCUGGUGCACAGGGUCUUGAGGACACAUUGCCUGUGAUUUGUCACACAAAGCCUGGGCUGCACUGAGAGUCCUCCCACACGUCUCUCCUCCUGCCACUUUCCCAAGUGCCACUGUGUGCCUGGAAGCCAGAGCGCCUGACAGUCUGGGGAAGGAAGCUCAUCGCAUCCCUUGAACGCCUGGCGAAAAGCUGUGUGUCUGGGCUUGCCUGCAUGUGAUUUUUGGGGGUGCUGCUGCCCUGGCUGGAAGUCACAGUUUCCCUCCUUGCUGAGCUUGUCUCAUCCUUUGCCUCUGGAGAGACUCAGUAGAGGGUAACAGCAUUUGCCCUCCUGAUGGCUUGGCUGUGCUGGGCCCCUGCUGCCUUCUCUCCCCCUUCACCCCAGCUUUAGACAUCUGUCUUCUUCCAUCUUGUGUGAACUGGAGGCUCCGUGGAGCAAGGUCUGCCCAACUCUGCAUUUGAGCAGGGUAACACGGUUCCCCCUUUGCCCCUCCGUGCAGCUACACUGCAGGCAAGGCAGGGGUGGGCUGCCUGCGUCUGCUGCUGGCUGUGCCCAUGCGUGGCUGUGUGCCGGCUGCUGUGGGGUGCAGACCAGUCCCACGCGGGGGGGCCCGCCCUGCGAUCAGGGCACGCAGUCAAUUGGCAAAAUAAAAUAAAUUAAAAAUCA